rnacentral:rRNA from 1 species
UACAGAGGGUGCAAGCGUUGUUCGGAAUUAUUGGGCGUAAAGCGCGUGUAGGCGGCUUUGCAAGUCGGAUGUGAAAGCCCUCGGCUCAACCGGGGAACUGCGUCCGAUACUGGCGAGGCUUGAAUCCGGGAGAGGGAUGUGGAAUUCCCAGUGUAGCGGUGAAAUGCGCAGAUAUCGGGAAGAACACCUAUGGCGAAGGCAGCUCUCUGGGACGGUACUGACGCUGAGACGCGAAAGCGUGGGGAGCGAACAGG